UAAGAACGGUGCUGAGGGUGGUAACAGAGAGCACUAACGAUGCUCGCCUUUGUGUUCCAGGUGGGUCUGUGAGGAAAUCCCGGAUCUCAAGCUCGCCAUGGAGAAUUACGUUUUAAUCGACUACGACACCAAAAGCUUCGAAAGCAUGCAGAGGCUCUGUGACAAGUAUAACCGGGCCAUCGACAGCAUCCACCAGCUGUGGAAGGGGACCACACAACCCAUGAAACUGAACACGCGGCCGUCCACCGGGCUCCUGCGGCACAUCCUGCAGCAGGUCUACAACCACUCGGUCACUGACCCCGAGAAGCUGAACAACUACGAGCCCUUCUCCCCGGAGGUGUACGGAGAGACCUCCUUCGACCUGGUCGCCCAGAUGAUCGACGAGAUCAAGAUGACCGAGGAUGACCUGUUCGUGGACCUGGGCAGCGGAGUGGGCCAGGUCGUGCUGCAGGUCGCCGCGGCCACCAACUGCAAACAUCGCACGCCAUGGGCAGCUUCUCCUCCGGGGUGGCCGGCGGCGCAGUUGGAGGUUCCCUUCCAGGCCCCUAAUGGGGGAGAGGCCACGCCCGCAUAUCCCUUUGGGUCCACUUUGCACCCGCCACCUCGCUCCUUUUCACCCAACAACGCAGGUGUGACUGUCGUGUGGGCCGAGCACUCAGGCGUGUCCUUAACCACGCGGUGCCUCCCGCCUCCGCUCACCCGUUCGGAGCCAGCUUCGGCAGUGGGGCUGCGUGUCGCAGCGCCACGCUGAGCUUAACCCCGCUGCAGGCGGUGUCCGGCACCCCGGCCUCUUCCUUUCAGGCCCCGUCCUCUGCGGAGCCGAGGCCGCCCCUGCCCCCUCCGCACCUGGGCCGGCCCCCCUCUGGGGCAGCCCACCCUCCACGCACCCCCACCUCCUAACGCCGCCUUGCCUCCUCCCCCCGCGCUGCUCCCGGCUAACUCUGAGCCUGUGCUUCUGCAGAACCUCGCGCCCCUCCCGGCUAACCAAGCUUUCUUACCUGCUUCCUCUGCUGCCUCUCUGCCACCUGCUAACGCCUCUCUAUCCAUCAAGCUCGCCUCCCUCCCGCACAAGGCGUCCCGCCCCUCCUUCACGGUGCACCGCCAGCCCCUGCCCGGGCUGGCCCUGGCCCAGGCCACGCCCGUGAUCCCGCAGGCCAGCUCCACGGGGCCACCCGCCGUGUGGGUUUCCCUUGGCAUGCCGCCUCCGUGUGCCGCGCGCCUUGCGGGGGUUAAGCCGCGAUAAAGACCUUGAUUAGCUAGCAGUUCGUAUUCUGUAAGGUAACUAGGAUUCCUACCUCAGCCGCGAGACUAUGCAAGGCCGGGCCGGGCCGGCGAACGGACGGAGGCCAGAGACAGGUUCUACUGUGAAUCAGCGCUGCGCAGACCUGCGGAGACGUCUUGCUGGGGCCUGGCUCCAGCCUGUACUGUUGAUAGUUUUAGAUAAAGUAUUUAUCGUUUUUUAAAAAGUAUAAACAAUUUUGACUUAUUUUAUUCCACCGAAGUCGUAAAGGCAACCUAUUGAGAGAUGUAAAUACUAUAUACGAGAGGAUCUAUGUAAACACGCUCCCGAAGGACUGGCCCGCCAGCGGAGACGCCGACAGCCGGCCCGGUGCUAUCUCGUCCCAGGCUCGCGCCUCCACGUUCUUGGUGCUGACUCUCGAGGUUGACUGACGCCAAAACCAGCCCUGGGAGCGUCUGCUCUAUUUAUUCCUGCCGCUCUUCCUAUACCAAAGGCACCCGUCUCCAGGUCGAGGUGGCUCCUCAGAAAGGCCGCCCGCCCAUCACUGUGAACGGCGCCCAGCAGACAGUCAGCCCUCGGGUCCGGGAUCGCGCCUUUGGCAUAGGAACGGCCAGGCAGCGCGGGCCGUUGGGCUGCAGUGGCGGAGCCUCCAGGAGGGGCCCCGUUCUGAGUGGUGCUUGUGAGGAGGGUCUGGUACCCGAUUCCAGGGCCGGGCUGGCUCGUGUGACAAGUGCAUUUACUUUUGUACGACUUUGCUCGUCCUGGGUUCGUGCUGCAGCCCGCCCAGGGACGCAGGGGGGCUAGUUGUGGGUGCCGGGUGUGUCUACAGGAGCGUCACGCUGACGGGUGACAGUAUUUUAUAGAGAUGUGAUGAAAAUUUAUAAAUUUCAUAGACUUGACUUCAUUUAUUUUUAGAUUAUAUGACGAAUGCACAGUAAACUAAAGAGGAAAAGGGAGAGAAGGAAGGGGAAUCUUUCCAUCUGCUCAGGUGCACAGCGACGCUGGCCCAGGGCCCAGCCAACAACAGCCCAUGGCAGGGCGGCACUCGCCUGCGCUGACGGCCACGGCGGCGCUCGGGCAGGAGUGUGCCAGGGCCGCAGGGUGCUCUGUCCCUCCGGCACGGCUGCCUGCGGCCAGUAGUAGGUCCCUGGGCUGAGCAGUGUUGUCUGUGUGCCUCCCCAAAAAGCUCUCGGUCCCCUGAAAGGGCCGUUGGCCAAAGGUGCUGGCAGGGGGCCUGGACCCCGAGGUGGGUGCUCCAGAAAGGGCUGGGCGCAAGCGGUCAGAGCCCUGUCCUAAGGUGCUUGCCCCCAAGCGGCACCCAUAAAGGAGUGCAGGAGGUGGGCCUUUGUGUGGGGAUCCAACCAGGGCCUUCCCUAGCCUGGCCGCCACAACCCCACCCGCUCCAGAUGCAGGCACCAGGGGCCCUCCACCUGCCUGGGACAGUCAGUGUGGUGGCCCAGGCCCCACUUGGCUUCCUGAUCCCCAGGGCAGGUGUGGAGCUGGAGACCCUGUGGGAUGCAGGCCACAAGGGCCACAGCAGGACAGCAUCCUGCCCCCUGGUGUCCUCUGCACUCUUGUGGGGCAGGAGUCUAGGGUGGAGACUAUGCCUCCCCUCCAGUGACCCCAUACCCUUCCCUCCAGGUCGGUGCUCCCGAUGCACAAUGGUGCUGUCCUGGCCCCUGGCCCCCCAGCCCCCCUCCAAGAGGCUCCCUUCCCUGUGUCGGGCUCCCUAAAAAGCUGCAGGGCUGUGAGAAGUCCCACCUGGAACAAAGUGACACUGUACACAAACACUGCAUCACCUCGGGGGCUGUGUGGCCGCCCGCCGGGCCACCCUGUCCUCCGCACGCACAUGCGUGGGUCUGCCCCACAGCGGGCCCAGCUCCGCCGCCACCCCCUUGCCCACCCUUGCUCCCCGCCUGAGCUCAGCCACCGCCGGCCUCGGGAGGGGGGCGCUGGGGCAGGAGACCCCACUGCCGCUGUUGGCGCAGGUGCUCCAGGAGGUCUGACGGCUGCGGUCGCUUCGCUCAGGAAAACCUAACAACUAAGACGACCCUCCAGUCAGGAGGCACAGCCUCCCCUCAGCUCUGACUUGUGACCUAUUUAAGACCCACCGCCCCUUGUCUGCCCCGCCGUCCGCAGGACUGUUCCGUUUCCUUCCCAAGCCCGCGUCCCCACGCUGAUCUGUAGCGCAGACGGGCUUGGCUUUGUCGUCCAGUAGCUUGUUGUUUCAGCGGGGGCGCUGCCCCUCCCUCCCUGAGGGAACCCCUGCACUGCACUUCCACCUCUGGACUCUAAUAAAAUACCUGUUUUCACUUGAA